GACGAACGCUGGCGGCGUGCUUAACACAUGCAAGUCGAACGGUGAGGCGCCUUCCUUUUUGGUGGGUGUGGAGGAGCGGCGAACGGGUGAGUAACACGUGAGCAACCUGCCCCCUUCUUCUGGAUAACCGCAUGAAAGUGCGGCUAAUACGGGAUAUUCUGGGUCUGUCGCAUGAUGGGUCUGGGAAAGAUAUUGUUUCGCUGGGGGAUGGGCUCGCGGACUAUCAGCUUGUUGGUGGGGUGAGGGCCUACCAAGGCGGUGACGAGUAGCCGGCCUGAGAGGAUCGGCGAUCACGGAGGGGCUGCAAGGCCGAGAAGCCUACGGCGGGAAGCAGCAGGGAAGAAUAGUGAACGGUGGGCAGAAGGAUGAUGCAGCGCCGCGGGGGGGGGGAAGGUGGCCGUCGGGUUGUGAACCUCUUUCGGGGAUGAAGCAGGCCUGCCUCGUUUGUGGGUGGGUUGACGGUAGCUGGAUAAGAAGCGCCGGCUAACUACGUG
rnacentral:rRNA from 1 species